rnacentral:misc_RNA from 1 species
GAAAUGCGAUAAGUAAUGUGAAUUGCAGAAUUCAGUGAAUCAUCGAAUCUUUGAACGCACCUUGUGCUCCUUGGUAUUCCUUGGAGCAUGCCUGUUUGAGUAUCAUGAAAUCUUCAAAGUAAAUCUUUUGUUAACUCAAUUGGUUUCUACUUUGGUAUUGGAGGUCUUUGCAGCUUCACACCUGCUCCUCUUUGUUCAUUAGCUGGAUCUCAGUGUUAUGCUUGGUUCCACUCGGCGUGAUAAGUUAUCUAUCGCUGAGGACACUGUAAAAGGUGGCCAAGGUAAAUGCAAAUGAACCGCUUCUAAUAGUCCAUUGACUUGGACAAUACUUUUAUGAUCUGAUCUCAAAUCAGGUAGGACUACCCGCUGAACUUAAGC